AAGACAAAAUUGAAAGUAUGCACAUUUUUCAAUCUUUCAUCUAAACUCUGCAGCACAAAUUGAAUUUUUUUCAGUGAACAGCUGCUGGAGAAAAAAUUUUGCUCCAGGAGUAAACUAGUGCUAUUUUCAUUUUUUUCCUAGCAAGAUUACCAAUGAAGCCUCCUCUCUUCCUCGCUGACUACAGGAGCCUGGGGCAUGAAGAAAGUCCUAAAGAGAGGGAGUCACAUCCAUUUUCUGCUGUCUGCUCCGCAACAGAUCUUUAUCAUGCUUAUUUUAACAGAGGGAAGGUACUUCCUGGUCUUCCUUGCAGCUUCAGAAAAAGAACAGUUUUUCUCUGUAUGAAAUAUCUGCUGCAAACCUAGGGCCAUUCUAGAACAUUUUGUUACAGCUGAUUGUGCCUCAAAUCUCAUCUUUGGGACAUUUUGGGAAAAAUUCGUUUCUCUCUUUAGGCUGGACUAACACAAACGCUGGCAUUCAUCCAAACCAAACCAUUUCAAGUUCAGGCCAGUUGGAGUAGCUGAAUACAGACCCAGAGAUGCUACUUAAAGACAAGAUGAAGUAAUAACCCCAGAACCAAGGACACUGUUGCAGCUUCAGGCCCAGAAAGUGCAAGCAACAUCAAAUUGAGGAGAGCAGACUGGGAGGAUGGGACUGCAUCACCUGGAGCUGGAAUUGGACAAUUAACCCCAAGAUGGAAAUGGACCAAAACUUAUAAAAGUGAGAAAACUCGUGACUUAUCAUCCGUCUUGGGUGGAGCCACACCCGGAUCUUGUACUGCCCAAGGUGUAUCCUGUGAAGGCCUUUAAUAAAUCCCUACUUUAUUCCUUUAA